rnacentral:rRNA from 1 species
UGGGGAAUAUUGCACAAUGGGCGCAAGCCUGAUGCAGCCAUGCCGCGUGUAUGAAGAAGGCCUUCGGGUUGUAAAGUACUUUCAGCGGGGAGGAAGGGAGUAAAGUUAAUACCUUUGCUCAUUGACGUUACCCGCAGAAGAAGCACCGGCUAACUCCGUGCCAGCAGCCGCGGUAAUACGGAGGGUGCAAGCGUUAAUCGGAAUUACUGGGCGUAAAGCGCACGCAGGCGGUUUGUUAAGUCAGAUGUGAAAUCCUCGGGCUCAACCUGGGAACUGCAUCUGAUACUGGCAAGCUUGAGUCUCGUAGAGGGGGGUAGAAUUCCAGGUGUAGCGGUGAAAUGCGUAGAGAUCUGGAGGAAUACCGGUGGCGAAGGCGGCCCCCUGGACGAAGACUGACGCUCAGGUGCGAAAGCGUAGGGAGCAAACAGG